rnacentral:rRNA from 1 species
CCUACGGGGGACAGCAGUGAGGAAUAUUGGUCAAUGGGCGCGAGACUGAACCAGCCAAGUCGCGUGAGGGAUGAAGGUCCUAAGGAUCGUAAACUUCUUUUGUCAGGGAACAAAGUCUGGCACGCGUCCCUGGUUGUGUGUACUUGAUGAAUAAGGAUCGGCUAACUCCGUGCCAGCAGCCGCGGUAAUACGGAGGAUCCGAGCGUUAUCCGGAUUUAUUGGGUUUAAAGGGAGCGCAGACGGGUUGUUAAGUCAGGUGUGAAAGUCUGGGGCUCAACCGCAACACUGCAGUUGAAACUGGCAGUCUCGAGUUGGAGAGAGGUAUGCGGAAUUCGCGGUGUAGCGGUGAAAUGCAUAGAUAUCGCGCAGAACUCCGAUUGCGAAGGCAGCAUGCCAGCUCCACACUGACACUGAGGCACGAAAGCGUGGGUAUCGAACAGGAUUAGAUACCCGAGUAGUC